rnacentral:rRNA from 1 species
AUUGAACGCUGGCGGCAGGCCUAACACAUGCAAGUCGAACGGUAACAGGAAGCAGCUUGCUGCUUCGCUGACGAGUGGCGGACGGGUGAGUAAUGUCUGGGAAACUGCCUGAUGGAGGGGGAUAACUACUGGAAACGGUAGCUAAUACCGCAUAACGUCGCAAGACCAAAGAGGGGGACCUUAGGGCCUCUCGCCAUCGGAUGUGCCCAGAUGGGAUUAGCUAGUAGGUGGGGUAACGGCUCACCUAGGCGACGAUCCCUAGCUGGUCUGAGAGGAUGACCGGCCACACUGGAACUGAGACACGGUCCAGACGCCUGCGGGAGGCAGCAGUGGGGAAUAUUGCACAGUGGGCGCAAGCCUGAUGCAGCCAUGCCGCGUGUAUGAAGAAGGCCUUCGGGUUGUAAAGUACGUUCAGCGGGGAGGAAGGGAGUAAAGUUAAUACCUUGGCUCAUUGACGUUACCCGCAGAAGAAGCACCGGCUAACUCCGUG